AUGCCCUCCUCCGUCACGGAGGAGGACGUGCUGAAGUUGAGAGAGGCCAGGUUCUUGAUCGGCGAAAUCUCGCAUAGGCUGCCUACUCAAGGGCAGGUCAUUCCCACUCCCAAGCCCGGUGAGAGUGUGGUGUUCAUGUCUCACUUCCUUCGGGGGCUAGGCUUCCCGACGGAUCCCUUCGCGAGGGGGCUCAUGUAUUAUUAUGGGCUGGAAUUUCACGACUUAGCCCCGGAGUCCAUCCUCCAUAUUUCCUCAUUCAUCGUUGUGUGUGAAGCCUUCCUCCGUAUCACUCCUCACUUCGGACUAUGGCUCAAGACCUUCAAAGUAGAGCCGAAGAUGAUCGAGGGACGGCACGCGGAGUGCGGAGGUGCUUUUAUAAGCAAGAAUGCUGGUACUCCAUGGCCCAAGGGCUCUUUUCAAGAGGAGUCCAGCUUAUGGCAACGAGAGUGGUUUUAUAUUACCGCUCCCAGGGCCCCUAAGUGGGUGGCGCCACCUGCCUUUCGCUCGGGUCCCCCGCGCACGACUGGCGUCAUGGGUCAAUACGGGGCUGGACUGGGGGCCGGCAAAGGACGUGCCCCUGUUGCAGGGCCACAUCCGAGAUCUCCUAGAAAGAGACAUCAGUCUGGUCGUGGUGACAUAGGUUAUGUUAAUUUGCCAAGUUCUGCCCUGCAAACGUCACCCCCUCCUCCUUUGGGAGUUCAACCCGGAGGGACCACGAGUUCUCCAACAUUUUCUUGGCAUGACGCCCGUGGAGAUGUACAAAUUGUUCUUCGGACCACAAGUAGUGUGCCCGGAUUCUACGGAGGACGCAGGUCUGAGCUGCAAUCGUCCGGAUACUCAAGUAAGUAG
rnacentral:rRNA from 1 species